GGAAGAUCGUCAUCUCCGGUGAGGUGGCUGGACUUCAAAUUCAGUUGGGGACGCCAGCGUUCCCGGGCAGGUUCGACUCCUGUGAUCUUCCGCCA
rnacentral:tRNA from 1 species